UGGAAGAUGAGUUUAUGUCUUCCCAUUCCCAAGAAGAGAGUGAUAUUGAGGAAACAGAAGGGCCAACACCAAGGCGUCCUCGUGCUCCCAAGAAAAAAAACUAUACGGAUCAAGAAAUGGAGAUUCUAGUAGACGAGGUUCUUGUCAAUUUUAAGGUUCUUUUCCCUUCCAAAAAUGAUAACAUACCUAUGGUGGUAGCAAUGCUUCAUGGAGCCACAUAAUGACUAAAGUCAACACAGUUGGAAUAGCUAAAAGAACAAUUCCGAAAUUAAAAAAGAAAUGGAAUGACUUAAAAAAAAAAGCCAAGCUGGCUUUAAUUGCAAAAUAUUCCAAACAGACUGGUGGCGGUCCAAGCUGCCCAGAAACAUUGACCACCAUUGAGGAAAAGGUAGCUUCAUGUUACCGCCCAGAACAGAUACAUGGGAUUGGAUCAGCUGAUGUGUGCAUGGCGGCCAUUACACAGCGAACCAAUCAAACAUUGCCCACAGAAAUGGAAUGCCUAGAAAAUAAUGACACUACCAUAGAGGACAUGGAAGAGCCAGAUUAUCCAAUUGAUGCCCCCCCCCCUGCCCAU